rnacentral:rRNA from 1 species
GACGAACGCUGGCGGCGUGCUUAACACAUGCAAGUCGAACGGGCCCGCUCUCUUUUUUGGGGGUGGGUUGAGUGGCGAACGGGUGAGUAUCACGUGAGUAACCUGCCCCCUGCUCCUGGAUAACUGCUUGAAAGGGCGGCUAAUACGGGGUGUGCCGGCUGGUCCGCAUGGGCCUGGUCGGGAUAGUUUCAUCUUCGGGUGUUUCGGUGGGGGAUGGGCUCGCGGCCUAUCAGCUUGUUGGUGGGGUGAUGGCCCACCAAGGCGGUGACGGGUCGCCGGCCUGAGAGGGUGGGCGGCCACACUGGGACUGAGACACGGCCCAGACGCCUGCGGGAGGAAGCAGGGGGGGGUAGUGCACAAUGGGCGGAAGCCUGAUGCAGCGACGGCGCGUGAGGGAUGGAGGCCUUCGGGUUGGGAACCUCUUUCUCCGGUGGUGAAGGCCCUGUCCGUUGCGGCGGGGUUGACGGUAGCCGGGUAUGAAGCGCCGGCUAACUACGUG